rnacentral:rRNA from 1 species
GACGAACCGUGCAAACGUUGUUCGGAAUCACUGGGCUUAAAGGGCGCGUAGGCGGGUCUCCCAGUCUGUGGUGAAAUCCUCCAGCUUAACUGGAGAAGUGCCGUGGAUACUGGAGACCUCGAGGAGGGUAGGGGCAUCUGGAACGGUCGGUGGAGCGGUGAAAUGCGUUGAUAUCGACCGGAACUCCGGUGGCGAAGGCGAGGUGCUGGGCCCUUUCUGACGCUGAUGCGCGAAAGCCAGGGGAGCAAACGGG